UCCAAAUUGUCUAAAACUUUCUCACCCCCAUCCACUUUUUCAUUUCUUUGUAUUAGUCUAGCGUCUCCGUCAAACCUCAAAAUCUUCCCAAAGACUUAUCAUUGAAUUAUGAAUCGAUAUUAACAUACAGCAAAGCGAGGUGGUGAAAUUAUCCAUUCUUGAAGCUGCUCGAUCUGGGGGUUAACCCACCUCAAAUUCCACUACUGACGAGGAAACUUCUUCAACCCAAAAGGUACUUUCUGAUCUCUAAAACCCCUCUUUUGCAAGACGGUGUGCUACUAUGUCGCUAUUUCUUUGAACAUACUAAAAUCCACAUCAUGAAAAUAUAUUAGAAAUGAUUUAGCAUCCCAAAUAUAAUCACUGACCAAUGAGCUGCCUUCUUCUAUUGAGGUGAAUUUGUUGAUGGUCGACAAUGAAUCUUCCAUUUUGACAAAUUUGAAAUCCAUUUCUACCAUAAACUGAAUCACAUGAAGGCUAAUUUGGGCUUUAACUGCAAAUGAAUCAAGUAAAUUUUUAUUUAAAUGACUGCAUUCUUCCAUUACUUACUCAUCAUUAUUUCUAAUAAUCACCCGUGUACUCCAUUCUUUAGACCAAAAAGGAUAAAUAAAUCUUAAUGGAAAAACAAUUUCAUUUAAUAUUAUAUGUACAGAAAAUGAAGGUUUUUAAUAAUCAAAUCAAUAAUCUAAUUAUUCAUACUAUUAGUUCAUGAAUCAACUGAUGAUCCAACAAUAAUUAAAUAAAUAAUUAAAAAUUCAUAAAAUCAGUUCAACAAUUAAUUUUUUGUUUUGAUAUUUUAUUAGUUACAAAUAGUUUACUUAGAGGCUAAUUCAACUACUAUAUCGCAAUCGAUAUAUUAAUAAAUUCUCAAUCCAAUCAAUCUAACAUAUUAAUUCGAUUCAGUUCAAAUAACACAGAGACCAACUUAAACUACACUUACCUAAAAUAAUUUUUAAAAAAAUUGAUCGCAAUUUAGUUAUCAAAAAUUAAUCUAAUAUCAUAUUUACUUCACUCUAUAAUUAAAAGUCACUGAGAAAAAAAAUUCAGAAGUAAAAUUAAGAUACUGACAUGUAUCCUUUACACAUAUUUAAAAUUAAAAAAAAAUAAUUAAAUUAGAUACAUGUGAUCAUCCCAAUCCAAUUUGAGAAAUUUUUUCUUUUCCAUUGACCGUAUACAUGAUAAUAAUUUAUUUUAAUAUUCGUCUGUUAUUAUUUUUAUGUUUUUGUUAUAAGUAUUAUUAUUUUUAAUUAAAUUUCAUGAGUUGCAUUAAUCGUAUGUAAUUUUAUAUGCAAUUUAUUUUUAUAUUCGUAUGAUGCACAAAUUGAUUAUGUAUAUUUAUUUUAGUAUGCUAUAUUUUAUAGAAAAAAUUUCAUUGUUUAAAAAUUAGAACCAUUUUUAAAAUGAAAAACAAUUAAUAUAAUUUUGUAGAAAAAUGUAACAAAAUUAAAAAAUUAUUAAAAAUCCAAAAACUAAUAACAAUAAAAGUCAAAAUAGGAUGUUUUUGUUCCCAGGAAACGUAUGGAUAUACAGUUUUCAAUGUAGCAAAAAUUAAUUCUUUCUUUUUUAUUUUAAAUAACAGUUUUAGAAAAUAAGUAAUUUUUCUUUUAUAAGUUAAUGUCAUUUUAGGGUUUGAUGGGUUAUUUUUAACUUGAAUUAUUAAGUUUUGAAAGGCGAAUAUGUGGUUUAAAUAUAUAAAAAAUCUUUAUAUUUAAAAGAUGUUUUUAUAAGAAUUAAAAAAGAUAUUGUUAUAUCUUAUUGUUGCAUUCAAUUAUAUUAUUUUGUGAUUUUUGUUGAUGUUUUAGUUUUAAAUUUUAAAUAUAAUUUAAUGCACCUUCAAAAAAAUAUAAUUUAAUGCAUGAUGUUUUUGAGAAUGUAUGCUGAAAUUUUAUUCAAUAAGUUUAAACGAUGGCGCCAAAACAAAACAAACAUAAAAAUUGGGCCAAGACAAAACCCAAACACCAGCCAAAUAUCGAAGAUUGCUUAAUGUCACGGGCCGCCCCGUGACAUUUGAAGCAUCUAAGCCUCAGCCAGGGAAAUUAAUACAUUAAAUCUCCUGAAAAGCAACGGAUGAUUUUAAAGCCCAUCGGUAAUGUUUCAUUUCCUUUCCCAACAACUUUAACCCACCCAACUUCUCUUUCUACUCUCUUACCCAGACUCUUCCCCUACCCUAUCUCACCAAAAAUUGAAUAGAGAGAAAUCAGAAACCCUCUCCCAUUCGAUCCCUUUCCACUUCCUCUCUUGUAAAUAUAGGAACCCCAUCUUGCAGACAACAUUGAUCCCAUCUCUUUAGGCUUUCAGUAGCCAACAAGUGAGCAAUGCUAUUCAUCGAUCUAUGGAUGUAUUUGAACUUACAGGUAUGAAAUAUUUUGCUUAACCAUUUCCCAUCUCUAAUGUAAGCCCCAAUUUCGAAUUUGCCAUAAUCUUCUCUCCGUAGUUUUUUGAUAAUAGAGAGGGAAUCACCUUCAAUUUCAACCUUCAUAAGCCCUAGAUCCAGGCCCAGAUGAACACUUUUAAUGUAUGCAAGUGCUUCUGCAGUAAACACAGAGGGUAUAUUUUUAUUUAUCACAACUUUAGAACACAAUGCUCCAUGCUCAACCAAUGCACAAAUAUUUGUAAGGUACAUUUUCAUUUAUCACAACUUUAGAACACAAUGCUCCAUGCUCAACCAAUGCACAAAUAUUUAUAAAUUAAUCCAAAACAACACCAAUAAAAAUCUCAAAUCGAAAAUAAUUCACUCUAAUGGAAGUAUGAGAAAAGCAUUUAAACACAACAAAUAAUUCAGAGAUUUUCUAAUAAUUAUAUAAACAACCUCUCCACAAAUGUACAAAAAAAUACAAGAACAAAAUAAACAUAAUAUCAUAAGAGAGGGAGAAAACUGAAACUGCCCUAAAUAUGGAUUAAAUCGCCAGAAUAGUGAAACCUGAAAUUGUAGGCAAAACUAAAUGUAGUGCAUGGUGCCAAAAAAACUAAUUAGAAAAUAAACACAAAUAAUGAAUAAGAUUAAGAGGUUACAAAAUCAAAUAAAAACAAGGGCGAUGAAGUAGGUAAGAUUGAAGGUGUGCCCUGUCGCCAUGCUCCAAAGGAAGUAAGCGUCGAAUGUACCAACGACCUCGGUGCUCUCCCUCUGACCAGUCAACGUGUGGGCUAAGAUGGCAUGGAUAUACGUAAAGCCGGAGGUAGUGAAGUCGCAUUCGACCGACUCUGGUCAUAGGGUGUUGUACUGGUAGUCAGCUCUGUUCAGCAUAAAGAUGGUGAGUAAUGGAUGUGCGGGUAUAAAGUGAGGAACCCUUCGGCACUCAUGAACUCCUUAGUAUAGAGUCUUAAAGUAAUUCCGAAUUCUAGGAUGCUCAUAUGAUGCGUUGUACCGACGAGUUGAAAAGUAAUAGUGCAUGGCUCAUCGUGGAUCAACAUCACGUGCUGUAAGAGGAAUGUCGAACAAAACUCGAGGGUAAGAUCCGAGUAGGUGGGCUCAAUGAUGGAGAAGAACCGGUUCCAAGGAGUUGUAACAAUCAGUGCAUGGACUCGAUCAACUAAUUGAAUCUGCUCUAAGGCCGUUCAAUCAAUAGAACGACUUAAUCCUAGUGGCCGCUGUUUGAGAUGCUGAUAUAGAUCCUCUUGGGGACCCUGUAAAAAUCGGAGACAUGGAUGGCGUGUAUCGGUGGAAGCGCUCGAUGUUGAGGUCGCGCCCAGAGUCUUUUGCUUUUUUGAAGUGGAAAUAGCGAGUCAUGAUGCACCUGAAAAAUAGAUAACCAAACAACUAUUUUAGCAUUCAACGUAAAAGCACGAAUCGACAUAAUAGAACAGUUCAAAUAACAACAGAAUGAAAGUUGAAUCCAACUAAAAUCCAGAAUCACAAGAUCGAACAUUCAGCUAAAAAUAUUUGAAUCCAAAAUUCGUGUAAAAGUAGCAUCAAGAAUAUAAAAAUAAUAAAUAAAUAAGAAUAAUAGUAGAAAACACAAUUCUAAAAGAAGAGUAACAAUGAUCACAACUUCCUAAAAAUUAAUACCACUUAAAAGCAUAACAAGAAUAAAACUCAGUUUUAAUAAUUAAAAUUAUGAAUGAAAAUAAUAAAAACAAUAUGAAAAGGAACCAAAAGAAAAUAAAUAAAACGAUAACUAAAAUCACAAUAAAAAGGAAAUAAAAAAUUACUAAAACAAAUAAUAAUAAGAAUACUAGUAAAAAUAAUAAAAGAAAGAAAAAGAAAAAGAAAAAUAAAUAAAUAAAUAAAAUAAGUGAAUUGGCAAACGAUGGUGGUAGGGGGCGCAUGCGACGGUUAAUGGGGAUGGUAGUGGUCGACGGUGAAAGGACAAUGAUGGGGACGUGCGGGGCGGGGGAUAGACUUGGCGAGAGGUGGAUAAGGGUGGCGGUUUGUCGUCGAGGGAGAGAAAGGAAGGGGGAAAGGAUGGAGGGGUGAUGGGCGGUGGCUUGGGUGUGUUUUUUCGAAGGAAGAAGGGAGAUGGGGGCUCGUGGUAGACGGUGGAAAAAAGGGAAAAGAAAUGGGAAAAAGAAGAGGGAGGGAUGAAUGAGAAAGAAUGAGGGAAAAGUAAGGGGGAAAAGAAAAGAGGGGAGGGGAUCGCUGUAGUAUUGUGAGGGGGAAUGGAGGGGAAGCCAUGGAUGGUGAUCGGACUGGUAAAGGGACGACGACGACUGGUCUUUGUAAGGAGUGGCGGCUAGGGUUUGUUUUUAAAAGGUUGGGAGGAAGAAGACAAAACAAAAGAAUGGGGGAAUUAGGGUUUUAAAAGGGGACUCGAUCGUGUUUAGGCUCUUGUUGGACUAUACAGCCGUGUCAUAAGCCCGUGUGGGGCUUUUUUAGCCCUUGAGCAAUUCAAAAUUUAAGCCCAAUUUUCACACGGCCUCGGACACACCCGUGUGUCCAGGCCGUGUGUGAUCUUUCUUCACUUCUCCCAUGCUCAUGUGCGAGGCUGCGUGAAGCACACGGUGUUUCACAUGCUAUUGUGACAGGCCGUGUUUCACACACGACCGUGUCUAAGGCCCGUGUAACUCAUUAAAUUGUAAAUAAAUUUAAAAAUUAACUCCAGUAUUCACAUGGCUGUGGACACGCCUGUAUGUCCAGGCCGUGUAACUCACUGUAGAAUACCCUGUCGUGCACGCGGCUUGGGAUAUGCCCGUGUGGGUCAAUUUUUUUUAAAAAGUAAUUAAUUUAAUUUUAAAUUAACGUGUAAUAAAAUUAAAAGAAUUAACAAAUUUUAAACACUCGGGUUGCCUCCCAAAAAGUACUUAUUUAGAGUCUAAGCUCGACUCUACUUUGUACACGCACGGUUACGGUAGUUUUCGGAGCUGAAACUCCUCUUUCUUGUUAUCAAUUUUACUACCGAGAUAAGGUUUGAUCAAGUAUUGUUUACCUUAAAUGUGCCGAACUUAGAAUGUGUUACCUCGACUGUACUGUAGGCGAAGACAUUCAGUACCAUGAAUGAGUUCGAUCCGUUUGGCUUAAGCUCUGAAGGGGAAAUUAAUGGAUCCGAUUUGUCUAGCAGUACUUUGUCUCUAACCUUAAUUUGGUUUGUUCUCAUCACAUACUCAUCAUGGCGUCGCUUUGUGUCUCUAUCAUGUUUUUUCGAUUUCUCCUCAGCAUGCACUUGCCGUUCAUCUAGUUCACCGAGUUGUACCAUUCGCUCUUCAAAUGUUGUUCUGUUUCUAUUACAUUGACUGAAACAUGGCUCCAGCAUGUUUUCCCGAGGAGUUUCUUAUAGGGAAGGUUGAGCCACGUCAUUACUAACAUUAACAGAACAUUUAAUCUCAUCUCGCUCACUAGAGACUCUCACAAAAUUGCCUGCUUGGAGAAUAAUCUUAUCGUCACCUACACGAAGCAUAAGUUCACCUAUACCAACAUUGAUAAUAGUCCUAGCAGUGACUAACAAGGGUCGACCUAAGAUCAAAGGUACCUCAUAUCCUCAUCCAUGCCUGACACAAUAAAGUCAAUACGGAAUAUGAAUUUAUCAAUUUUCACAAGUACAUCCUUAAUAAUACCCCUAAGAUAUCUGAUAGUUCUAUCCGCUAAUUGGAUACUCAUCCUAGUGUGUUUGGAUUUUCCAAGACCUAGCUGUUUAAAUAUUUUGUAAGGCAUGACAUUAAUACUGGCCCUUAAAUCAGCCAAAGCAUUAUCAAAUUUAAACUACCAAUGAGACAAGGAAUAGUAAAACUCCCUAGAUCUUUUAAUUUGUUAGGUAGUUUAUUUUGGAGAAUGGCCGAGCAAACUGCAUUGAGCUCUACAGUUGACGAGUCGUCUAACUUUCUCUUAUUUGUUAAUAGUUCCUUUAAGAAUUUAACGUAAUUUGACAUCUGCGAAAGAGCAUCAACAAAUGAUAAGUUAAUGUGUAAUUUUUUAAGAAGCUUAAGAAAGUUACGAUAUUACUCGUUUGUGUGGUAUCUCUUCAUCGUGUUAGGAUAUGACACUUGAGGUUUGUAUUCUUUGACAACCGACUUUUGCUCUUUCCUAUUUUCCUCAACCUCAUCAUUAUUCACCACAAUUUCUUACCUCGAUUCUUGUUCAGGUUCAACUAACCAUUCCAUGUCUCGAACAGUAAUUGCGUGAAGCUACUUUAUAACAUACCUAACCCAUAUCCAUCAGGUUACGGAGCAUUACUGGAGUUUACAGAUUAAGUACAAACAUUUCAUAUCAUUUCUUAUUUAUAUUAGAAAUAAAUUAUAAACAAUCAUAUUGUCCUUUAUAUGAACCCUUGAGGCCCAAAAUAUGUAAUAGAAAUAAAGCGGGACUAAUUCGGGUACUCAGAGAAUAUUUAAUAAAAUUUCAAAAAUUUUCCAAGGUGCAAGGUACAUACAUCCGUGUGUGCAUUCGAAAUAGGGCACAUGGCCGUGUCCCACCCGUGUUAGUACCCGUAUAACUCUCUGACUUGGGUCACAUUGCCAAGUCACACACCCGUGUGUAAGUGCAAGGGUCACACGGCCAAGCCACACGCCCUUGUGCAAGGCCGUGUGAUCAAUUCUAAGCAUUCUAUUUUGAAAAUUUAAAGAUGUAGGGGACAUAUGACCAAUUUACAUGUUUGUGGGCUAGGCCGUUUGUCACACACGGCUGAGACACACGCCCGUGUCUCUGUUCGUGUGGACGAAAUAAGACCAUUUCUAAGCUAUAUUUCUCACCCAAUUGUUCUUCCACUACAUAGCUAAUCCAAGACUUUUAAACCAAGCCAAAAAUCAAGUCUUAUACAUGACAUAUUACUUCAUAAAUCCAUAUAUCCAAACUUACCUAUUUGACCAAAAAUACAUUUAGACAUACUUAUGAAAUUUAAUAUUAAUUGUCCAUAUUUAACACUCAUAUCAAACAUGACAUUAUCUCAUAUAUAUAUAUGUCAAAACACAUUCAUCACAAGCCAUUCCAAUGGCUAAUUGUAACCAAAACACAUAUUUGUAAUCAAUGACCUAUUUUUACCUACACAUGCCAUUAUACCAAAAUCUAGUUCUUUAUAUAUACCAAAAUGAGCUAAAGGGUAGUGCGAUGAUGCUUCGAUUAGCUUCCAACCACUUCGAGCUUCUGAAUUACUAUAAAAUAGGAAAAAUAAUACAAGGUAAGCAUAUUAUGCUUAGUAAGUUCGUAUAACUGGGAAAUUAACUUACCAUUCAUUUACAUUUAAAAUAAGCAUACAAAAAUUCAUCCAAAGAAAUUUGGCAAUUUGCCGAAACACAUAUAAUUUUGAGAAACAUGUUAGUCAUGUAAUUUAUGAGAAUAUCAAGAAAUAAGGAUGAGCUCAUCAUGUAACAAAUUUUCAUGUACAUAUGUUUUCCACAUUAUAUAUUCAUAUAACAUAUACAUUUCCAUAAUAAUUUAUCUCAAAUUUAGAUUAUCUCAUGUCAAAACUUUUCCCGUUGAAUUUAUUAGAAAUUUUGAUGGAUACACAGGUAGUACACUUGAAGUGUACAAACUGUAAUCCAUCAAUUCAUAUUCGAGAGUGCUCCUUAGAGCACAUAAUCGAGAAGCCCUUUCUUGAGCCAUAUAAUAGGAAGCUUGAGCUGUAGAACAGGAAGCUUAUUCGAGCUAUAUAACGGGAAGCUCAUAAGAGCCAUAACCGGGAAGCUUAUGUGAGCCAAUAAUAGGUAGCUUCGAAGAGCCAUUAAACAGGAAGCUCCGGAUAACCAUGUAUCGGGAAGUUCAAGCGAGCCAUAUUGAGAAGCUUUUAAGAGCCAUUAAUCAGGAAGCUCACAAAGAUCCUUUAAUCGGGAAGCUCAUGAAGAGCUAUAUAUCGGGAUGCUCAUAAGAGCUGCGAUGUGCCCACAACACAUGCAGGAUCACGACCAAUCGGGAUGCUCCAAAGAGUUAUUAACGGGAAGCUCGCAAGAACCAUAUAACAGGAAGCUCGAGAGGGCUAAUAACGGGAUGCUCUUUCGAGAUGUGGUGUGUCCACAACAUAUGCAAGGCCACAACCAAUUCGGGAAUCUUGUAUCCAUCGAAUUUCAUUUAUUCAAAUAGGACUUAACAUUUAUCAAAAUUUUUUGGAUAUGUAAUAAAUUUCAUAUACAUGACAAUUACACAAUUCAUAUAUAUAUACAUUAUUCAAUUUCAAACAUAUAAAUGUACACAAUUUAAUUACACAAACUUACUUUGACAAGUGUUCGUUGAUUUGUUGUUUACUAAUCUGACACUUUCUCUUUUCCUCGAUCUAAUUCCGUAUUUUGUCUAUCCGGAUCUAUACAAGUAAAUUUAACUUAAUUUAAUACAAUUCAUAUUCAGUUCAAUCCAAUUCACAUCUUAAGCAAAAUUAUCAUUUUGCCCCUAUACUUUUAUUUAAUUACGAUUUCGUCCUUAGGCUCGGAAAAUAAAAUUCAUGCAAUUUAAUCCUUAUUCCAAGCCUAGUCAAUUUUUACAUGUAACAUUAACAGCCCAUGUAUUUUCAUAAAAUUCAUAAUUUUUCCAUGAAUUUUACAACUUUUCAAUUUAAUCCUUAAAUCAUAAUUUUAUCAAAAUUCCCUUUACAAAAGUUGUUUAUCUAUCAACAACCUUUCAUUUUCUACCAUAAAACUUCAUAAUUCAACUAUAUUCAUCUAUGACAAAACCCUAGUACUUUGAUAAAUUUGCAAAUUAAUCUCCAAGAUUGCUAAAUUAAGCUAUUACGAUCUCGAAAAUAUAAAAAUUACCAAAAACGAGACUUGAAUACUCACCUAAUUGAGCCAAAUAAGCUUGCUAUCUUCAAGCUCUUCUAACUAGGGUUUUCAUGUAAAAAUAUUUGGGAAAGAUGAUGAAAAAGAUGAUAUUUUCUUUAUUUAAUCAUUUAUCAUCUUUUAUUAUUUUUAGUUUCCAAUUUAGUCAUUUUCUAUAUUUAAUUUUCCAUGGAUGACUAAGCAUACUUAUCUACUAACUUCUCUUAAUGGUCUAUUUGCCAUAUAAGGUCCUCCAAUUUUGAAUUCCAUAGCUAUUUGAUACUUAUAGCUACUAGAAUUCAAUUUUUGUAUUUUAUGCAAUUUGGUCAUUUAUCAAGUUAGACAUGUAACCGGUAAAAUUUUCUUAACGAAAAUUUUAUACGACAUUCCUAUCAUAAUGCAUACCAUGCAAUAAUAUUAAAAUAAUUUUCCUUCCGGACUGGGAUUUGUGGUCCCGAAACCGCUGUUUCAAUUUCACUGAAAACGGGCUGUUAUACUCCUUAGGGUUAGGUUCAGUAUUGCUAUGCAAUCUACCUUGUGGUCGUUCUGAAAUUAGUUUAGCAAGCUGACCUAUUUGAUUUUUGAGUCCUUAAAUCAAUACUUGCUGAUUUUUUAGUGAUGUCUUAGUGUUUUGAAAACGAGUUUUUGACAUUGAUAUAAUUUUUUUCAACAUAUCCUUAAGGUUCGACUUUUCCUCUUGCUAGUAAGGUUGUUGAAAGCUUGGAGGGGGUUGUGCUCUUUAAUUUCCUUGACCACCCCAAGAGAAAUUUGGAUGGUUCCUCCAACCUACAUUAUAUAUAUUACUAUAGGGGUUAUUUUAAAGUCUAGAAUUAUUACCCAUAUAAUUCUCUGUACUAAGACCGAAGGGUAAACAUUCUGGAUUAUUCAUUUUGCCUCCAUUUGUAUCGCAUAGCAUCACCGGAUUUACUUGCGUAGAAAAAUAUAAACUGUCGAUUUUCUUAUUUAGUGAUUUUACUUGGCUUAAUAACGUGGUGACUCCAUGUAAAUUAAAAAUGCCGACUGCUUUCAUCAGUUUCAUCCUCAUGACUUGCCACUGAUAAUUAUUCAGUUCCAUCUCAUCAAUAAAUUCAUAAGCUACCUCGAGUGUUUUAUUAUUUAAUGUUCAACUAGCUGCUGCAUUAAUUGCCUUGUUGAGGGAUUCAAACCAUUUUAGAUGGUUUGAACUUGUAACCAUGAAGGUAACCCAUGGUGAGGGCACCAUCUCAAUAGAUCCUCGUAUCUCUCUCAUGCAUCAUAUAAAGUCUCUAAUCGAUCUGAACAAAAGAAAAGAUGUCAUUCCUCAACUUGGCCAUUUUAGCAAGUGGGAAGUACUUCAACAAAAAUUUCUCGGUCAUUUGAGCCCAUGUAGUGAUGGAACCUUAUGGUAAAGAGUUUAACUACUGUUUUGCCUUGUUCCUCAAUAAGAAAAGGAACAACCUAAGCGAAUGGCAUCAUCAGUGGUACCAUUAAUCUUGAAAGUGUCACAAAUCUCUAAGAAAUUGGCCAAAUGAGUAUUUGGGUCUUCAUCUUACAAACCGUCGAAUUGAACAUAUUGUUGUGCCAUCUGAAUAGUGUUCGACUUCAGUUUGAAAUUAUUUACAGCUGUAGUCUGUCUCACAAUACUCGAUUCAACCCCAAUCAGAGUGGGCUUGACAUAAUCAUACAUAGUGUAAGGGGCAGGACGCUUAAUUACUUGCUGAUUAUUUUGGUUAUCACCUAUCACCACAGUAGUAUUCUUUUCCUCGUAAUCGUAUACUGUACCCUAGUGAUUUUGCCUAGCUUCUCUAACCUCUCUAUGAUUUCUGCGAGUAGUACUUUCAAUCUCACUGUCAAAAAGCAAUGGUUGACGGGUUUCCUCUAGUUAUAAACCAAAAGAACCUACCAGAAGCAAACAAAAGAAAAAUUAAAAUGUAAAAAUUUAAUUAAAACAAAAAUAUAAAAAUUAAAUAAAAAAACUAAAUUAAUAGAAACAAAAUUUUACUAAUAUUUUAGUCAUCGGUAAUGGCGCCAAAAACUUAAUUUGUGUUUUCUAUAACUAACUAAAAAUACGAUGAAGGCAAAUGCACUAUCGAUAAAUAGUAUAGCUACGGUGAGUAGAGAUAUCGUAUCUACAAUGACUAAAAGUACUAGUAAUUACCAUUUUCCUAUUAUUUAGCUGACAAAUUGAAGUGAUUGGUUCAAACUAACAUUACUAAAUUAAUUUGACUAAGAAUUCAAUAGAGAAUAAAUUAGGAAAAUAAUUGAAUAAUAACCAAUGAGAUAAAUAAUAUCCAGGAAAGAAUCCACCUAGACUUCAUAUAUUAUUAUGAAUCUGAAUUAAACAAACUAUUUACUUGGUAUCUUGAUCUGUAAAAAUCCUUAAAUUAUGUUAAUAUCUCUUUCGAGAGUAAGAGCAACUGACUCUAGGUUGAUUAACUAAAAUUUCUUUCUAAUUAAAACCCCUAUUGUCGCAUUAACUCGAUUUAUAUAUUCCCUUAUUAGAUUUGACUUUAAUCUGGUAGAUUUAUGUCGUCUUAUUUCUAAUAUUGCAUGCAAUUCCACUCAAUUAUGCUAGAUCUACCCUUAAACAGGGACUUUUCCUCAUCUAAUUUAAGCACAUUAAACAUGAAUUAAUAUAUCGAAAAUAUUAAAACAAGAGAUAAGCACACAUAAUUGAGAACAAGAAUCAAUUAUUUAUCACACAAAAUAAAAAUCAAAUAAUAGAAUUCAUCAUAGGGUUCAUCUUUCAUAGGUAUCUAGGGAAUUAGUUCAUAAUUAUGAAUAAAAACAUUCUAAAGACAAAAUAUCCACAAGAAAUAAAGGAACUCAUAAAAACUUCAAAAGAAAUUAAAAGGAGGUCUUCAAUCUUGAUGGAAUUCUGCUUCAAAGUUGGCUCCAAUGGUGUUCUACGAGUUGUUUUCUUCAAUCUUCUCUAAUCGCCCCCAGUUCUCUUCUUCUAUUUGGUAUUUAUAGACUUUAGAAUGCCCGAAAAGCCUAAAAAUUGCAUUAUUCCACGUGUUUGGGAUGCGAAUCACGAAAUCGACUCGGUCUGGCACAUAGUUGUAUGUCCAGCCGUGUGGUUCACACGAGUGUGUGUCCAACCCGUGUGGGAAGGCCUAGCCAGUGUGGCUCUUGAAAUCUGCUCUAUUUGUCUGAUUUUUGCUCGUUUUUUGUUCUCAAAUGCUCUCAUUAGUAUAGAAACAUGAAUUUAAAGGAUUAGGGGCAUAAAAUUCACCAAUUUGCAUAAAUAAUCAUCCAAAAAGCGCAUUAACAACAAGAUUAAAAUAUGUUACUUUUAUCACUUAUCAGCAAUGAAUAAUAAACUCCACCCAUGAACUAACAAAUCCCGUUUUUAACGACAUUUGACAUAAAAAGGACCAUUCUACCUGAUCAUAUGCUUUACUCAUAUUCAAUUUUAACGUCAAAAGACUUUUUGCUCAUAUUCAAUUUUAACGCCAAAAGACUCUUUCUCCCUGUUCUUUUUUGCUUGAACAGAUGUAAGACUUCAUAAUCAAGAAGAACAUUAUCGGUAAUCAGUCUGCCCAGAACAAAAGCACUUUGGACCUCAUAUUUGCAACAUUCUAAAUUUUUUUGAAGAUGAUUUGCAAUAGUUUUAGAAAUAAAAUUUUAUAUAGCACUGUAUAAAUGCUUUUAGGCCUAAAAUUCAACAGAUUGGUAGGUUGAGCAAUUUUCAGUAUUAAAACAAUAUUGUAACAUUGAGUGGUUUUAGUGAUAUACCUUCCUUCAUUAUUUUAAGACAAAAAUAAUUUACAUCACGACUAAAAAUGUGCCAAAACUGUUGGAAAAAAUCCAUCGAAAAACUAUUAUUUCCGAUUAGACCCAUACCUUUUAGAGCACCAAACACCUCCUUAGCAGUAGAAUUCGCCAACAACAUUUGAUUCAAACUCUCCGUUAUUCUUCUCUCCACUCCCAACAAUAUAUUACCCAUAUUUUCCACACCUUUCGUGGAAAAAAUAUUUUGAAAAGUACAAAUAUUUUUGAGCAAUUUUCUCCAUUUCGUACUCUAUAUUUGUUAUUUCUUCCAUCACAUUUUCCAAGCCCCUAGUUCGAUUUAUAUGCCUCCUUUGAGAAGCAAAUUUAUGGGAAAAUGCAGUAUUCCGGUCUCCCAUCUUCAACUAGUUUGCACGAGUCCUCUAUUACCAAUACGCAUUUUCUUUCUUCAUCUCUCAAUUUAGAUGUAAUAUAACAUCAAUAAUUUUAGCAAGUGUAUCAUCAUCCCUAUUGGCUUCAUUCAGAGUUUCCAACUUUUGAUUCAAGUUUUUUGUUGUAGCACCUCGCUUCUCCUUGAUGCUCCUUUCCCACUCUUGAAAAACAUUUUUUACUGCAUCUAUUUUUGACAAAACAUAGCCCGUCGUUGAUUUCUAUACUCGUCGCACCACUUCUUCACAGGAAUCUUCAAAAAUGCACCAGGCUUUAAAUCUGAAUUUCCCACACCCCCUGUUUCUUGGUAUGAUCUAUUUGAAUUAAAAGAAGAUAUUGAUCUAAAAAAUAUCGGGGUAGAUGCUUAAUGAAGAAAUCAUGAAAUAGAUUCAACCAUUGGGAAUUGACUACCUUUCUAUCCAACUGCUCUCUUAUGUUCAUCUCUGGUAAAUUCCCUAUUUCCCAUGUGAACUAAGGUCCCAAAAAAUAACCAUCCACCAACUGGCACUCCUCUAAUACCUUGCAAAAGUUCUCCAUCUGCCUCCCCUUGGCUUUCAUCUAAUCUUUUCACGAGAAUAUAAAAUCUUAUUGAAAUCUCCACAAACUAUCCAUGGUAAAUCAUGAUUUCUUUUUAAUCGUCGAAGAAGCUCCUAAAUUUCUUCUCUAUGUCUGACAUCCAAAGCCCCAUAGAAACUUGCCAAUCUCCAUUUCAAAUUCCCUUCCACAUCUUUAAUAUCUACGUUAAUAUGAUGCUUCAAGAAACUAUGUAUAUUGACCAGAUCAUUACCAUUCCACGCUAAACUAAGUCCUCCUAGAUCUAUCCGCCUUAACAUCCAUCCCAUUAUUGAAACCAUAUCUCCUACGAACCUUCUCCAUUCGCACUCCAUCCAAUUUAGUAUCCAUUAAGAAGACAAUUUGGGAAUUAAUAGCCUUCAGCAUAAACCGAAGUCUUCGAAUAGCCCGCGUACUCCCAAAUUCGCAGACAUUCUAGCAUAAGAUUUUCAUGGUGCCCAGUAGGCAUGCCCCUUGACAGCCACCGAUAUCUGAUGAGAAUGAGCAUUUGGUUGCUUAGCUGAGACCCCUAAUGAAUCAACAAAGUCAGAAACAAUAGUUUUGGGCGUUUUCUUUCGUUCUACACUUUCAAUUGGAUCUUCCUCGAAAUCAUACUCCAUAUUGAUACAACCCAUUCCAUUAGAAGAUCCAAUUAAGUUCACCAUAUCAUAAUCUGGAUGACAUUCGAAAUUAAAACCCAAUAUCUAAUUGAUAUUACACCACAUAUCACUCAUCAAUUGACUCAUUGAGUUACUCCCCGGUACAUGCAAAUUCUGAUUUAUUUCCUUAGAAUCAUCAUCCCUGUAACAACCUGAUUUUGGGCCUAGUCAGAAUGAUGGUUUCAAAACCACUAUUCUGAGGCUAGAGAAAUUAUUUUUAAUGUUAUUUGAUGUGUUAUAGCAUGAUUAUAUGAGUGCAUGAAAAUUCUGGUGAAAUAAUUUUAGCGUCUGCUAGCUUAAUUGAGAAAAAGGACUAAAUUAGAUAAAGGGAAAAAGUUUUGUUUUGCAAGCUGAAUAUGUUAAAUAGCCAAAGAACCAAAAUUUAGGGUGUUUAAAGUGCAAAUAGACCCAAAAAAGGGUGCUUGGUCGGCCAUAGAGAGAAAGAAAGAAGAAAAGUCAAAAUUUGGUGUGGUUUGUGACUUAAUUUUGACUAGAAAUAGAAUAAAAUAAAACAAAAAGGUAUCAUCUUUCUAUAUUUCUUCUUCCCCACCAAAAAUGGCAGAAAACAAGGGGGUUUUAAGAGCUUAAGCUUUUAGCCACUUAGUUCUCUUGCAAGUAAGUGAUUUUGACGACUAUUCUUGAUGAUUUUUACACUUUUAGGACCCUUAUAGCAUGAACUAGCUAAUGGGGGGAUUAUUUUAAAAAAUGGUUAAAAGUCUAGGGUUUUUCCAUGAGAGCAUUUAUGUUGCUUGCUGAAUUUUUAUGGAAGAAAAUGAGUCUUGGUUGUGUAAUAAAUAACUUUUGUGAAAGAAGUUUGCAUGAAAACACCUAAAAAGGGUUAUUUUGUAAAGUUGUAAAAUAAGUUGUAAAUGUGUGAAAUAAUUGAAAUUGUGAGUUUCUGUAGUUAUAAAAAAAAUUUGGCUAGGCUUGGUAAAGGAGGAAAUUCGAUAAAAAUCAAUUUACAAGCCUAAGGGCAAAAUUAUAAUUUUUGUAAAGUCAAAGGGCAAAACGUUCAUUUUGCCAAAUUGUGAAUUAUAGGAUGUUUUAAUUAAUGUAAUGACUAAAUGAGUGAAUUUAAUCAUGUUAGAUCAAGGAAUUCGAGAUUUUGACUUAAAUCGAAAAGUACAAGGUUAUGGACUAAAAUGGAGUAAUUGGUUCGAAAUUUACAUUCGAGGUAAGUUCGUAUGAUAAUAAGAGUUCAAUGUUAUGUUUGAUUUAUAAUUCUUUACUAUUAUUGCAUAUAUUGUAUGAUUUAAUAUAUAUAUUGGAAAAGUUGAUGAAAUGGUGGAUAUGAUGUGGAAAUAUGACAUGGAAGAAUAUUACAUGAAAUGCAAGAAAAUGAUGAUCCAUGACAAGUGAUAUAUGCAAUAUGUGAUAUAUGUUAUGUAAAUUCUUAAAAGCUUAUUUGCUAUUUGAGUUAUGCCUUAUUAUGCUAUGAAAGGGCAAUUGAUACUAUGGAUAGUGAGAUCGACACUUUGAAUAAGUUCGACAAAGAUGGAGUAUCGAAAAAUCCCGUCUGAACCUUAGGAAUAGUCUAGGGUACAAGUGACAUGUUACUAAGAAUUAAGAAAUCCGAACUUGUUGAGUUAGACCAAGUUCGUGAUAUGAGGCAUCUGAGCUCAUUGAGUUGGUCCGAGUUCAUUAUGGAUGCAAGUAUCCGAACUCGUUGAAUUGGUCCGAGUUCAUAAUGGAUGCGAUACAUGUAAUUGGGUUCCGGGCAUUGGUCUUGUGUGUCCUCCCGGUGGCUAGGUAAUCCUUGAGUUGGUCGGGUACCUGACAGCUUGUGUGAGUAGCCAGUGUAGCUACACCUUGAUCGAUAGCUUUUAUGAGCAAACCAAUGAGUAACUCCAUUGUGAGCGUUACAUGUUAUGAGGUAGCUUUGGCUACGUAUGUAUAUGUGGCAAUUAUGUGCAUGUUUUCCGCGUAUCCAAAAGUAUUACGAGGGUUCAACGGGUAAUGCAGUAGAUGUGAUGAAAGUCCCGAGGAGGGCAUGUUAAAGAGGUAUGGUUAUAUGAUAUAUUACGAUGGGUACAGGUAUGUACACUAAGCUUAGGGUUAUUGAGACUUUAAAAAGUUGAAACAUUGGUGAGCUAAGAUGUAUGAAUUAUUGUAACAACCCUAACCUGUAACCGUCGCCGGAAUAGGUUAAGAGGCAUUACCGGACUCACAACCCAGAUUCGAACAGUAACAUAACAAAAAUCUUCUCAAUUCAAUAAAAUAUAGAUCAUUCAUAUUUAACACAAACUUCAAACAAUCAUACAAAUUCUAAAUCAUACAUUCAAGACUAAUUCGAUAACAUAAGGAAGUUUCAGAACUUAGAAAAAUUUUUAACUUUUAAAAGGUCACACGCCCGUGUGCCUCACACGACCUUAGACACGCCCGUGUGCCUCACACGACCUUAGACACGCCCGUGUAUCUAAGCUAUGGCAAAACAGGGCAUAGCUACUGACUUGCCUACACAACUACAAGACACGCCCGUGUGCUUUGGCCGUGGUCGAGUCUGACUUGGGACACACGGCUAGCCACACGCCUGUGUGCUUUGGCUGUGUUCGGGACUGACUUAUAAUUGUGUGGUACCCCUGGGGACACACGAUCGUGCAACAUAGCCGUGUGUCGCACGCGGCUGAGACACACACCCGUGUCUUUGCCCAUGUGGACAAAAGUAGGCCAUGAGAAUAGCCAAUUUGCCACCCUAAAUUUGGGUCAACCUACAAGCAAAGAAACAAGCAUAUAUGCACCACCAUUUCAGCCAAUUUUAUACAAAAACAUUCAUCAUUUAUAUUAUAACAAUAUCGACCAUUUUCCUAUUUAUAAACCUUACCAAUUCAUGCCAACAUAAAAUAAGAUCAUACCAAAACAUUUCCUUCCAUACAUCAUUCAAUAUCAAGCUAAACUUACCCAAACUUACCAACUAAAACAUACCACAAUUGCAUAUUAACAUCACAUACCAUAAGCCAUUAUCAACUAUGAGUUUAAACACCAACUAGCCAAAUCACCUGGCUAAGUAUAUACAUCACAAAACAUAAUUCCACAACCACUAUCCUAUACAUGCCAUACUUUAAAAAUAUACAUUUUAAAAAGUGCCAAAAUGAGAUUCGAUAGUGUGGUGACUAUCGUUGACGAUCCCCGAGCUUGCAGUAGCUUCGAUAUCUAUAAAACAAUGCAAACACAUACAAAGUAAGCUUUCAAAAGCCUAGUAAGCUCGUACCAAAAAUCAUCAAUAUAUAAGUACUUACAAAUUCUCAAAUCAUCUAUCAAAUCUAUACCAAUACAAUCCAUAUGUUCAUACCAAAUCAAUGAGCUUCACAUACACAGUAUCAUCUACCUCAUAGGUAUCGUACACACUUGAAUCUUCUCGUACUUAUUCACUUUCAUUCUCACCUUUCGUUUAAAUAUUUUAAGACUUUCCGUAAAUUAUUCAUGCUUUGAACAUCCGCACACUUAGUGCUGCAACAAUUAACCGAAGCUAGAACGAUUCUGCACACUUAGUGCCAAUCUCAAUUAGCCGAAGCUAAGUCGGUAUCGCAAACUUAGUGCCUCAUAUACCCGAAGCCAGUUUAAAUCACAUACUUAGUGCCAAAUACUAUUGAUUUAUCGUUGUAUUCAUCCAAACCAAACAUAUAUACAGUGUAUAUAUAAUCAAAACAUCAAAAUAUACUUAACAUCAUGUUUUACGUGCGAACUUACCUCGUACUCGAAAUUGUCGACUCUAUCGUUUAUUCUAUAAUCUUCGACUUCCCUUGGUCUAAAUUCGAAUUCCUCUUUUCUUGAUCUAUAUGUAUUCAAAAUUAACCCUUUUAUUCACCAAAUAAUUGAAAAGAAUCCAUAUACACAUAUUUAGGGCAUUUUACAAAAUAGCCCUCACAUUUUUACGUUUCGACACUUUAGUCCCUAAAUCACAAAAUCACAAAAUACAUAUAAUUUGCUUAUACUCAUACGAGGCCAAAUUCUCCUAGCUCUCAUACAAGUCCAUACAUUUCAUUUAUUUCACAUUUUAGUCCCUCAAAACAACAUUUUCACAAUUUAGCCCUAAUACUCAAUUUCGUCAAAAAUUCAAAGACAAAAUAUGUAAACCCGACAUCAAGCUUUCAUAAUUCACCAACUAACAUCACAAAGCUCAUAGCUUCAGCAAUGGUACAUUUCAAAAUCAUCAUCAAAAUCAGAAAUUGAGGCAUGGGUUUGAUAAUAUUCCAAGCAACGAUUACAAAAACGUAGAAAUUAUAAAAAACCGAUCAAAACACAUACCUUAAUCAAGGAUUACAAGUGACGAACCCUAAGCAAACUUUUAUCUUUUCUUUUCUUGUAUUUUCGGUCAAAGAUGAGUAUGAAAUGGUUUAUUUCAUGUAUUUAUUUUAAUUAUAAUUCAUUUAUAAUUAGUUUACCAAUUUUCCCUUGUAUCAUAACAUUAAUAAACCAUGCAUAUCAAGGUCAAAUAUGUCCAUUAACCAUGUAAAUGACAUAAUAACUACAUAAGGAUCUCUCAAUUAUAAAGCCAAGUCAAAUAAGCACUUUUAACAUCUAGCACACAGCUUUUACAUUUUACGUGAUUAGGUCCUUUUUUGAAAAUUAAGAACACAAACAGUUAAAUUUUCACAUGAGACUUUCAUAUAUGUCAAUUCACUUAUAGUAGGCAUGGAAAAUAAUAUUAAAAUAUUUUUCUAACUCGAAUUUGUGGUCCUAAAACCACUAUUCCAACUAGGGUCGAAACCGGACUGUUACAAUUCUCCCCCUUAGGGAUUUUCAUCCCUGAAAAUCUUACCAUUGAAUAGAUUCGAAUAUAACUGUCUCAUAGUAUCUUCAGGCUCCCAUGUGGCCUUUUCAAUACCAUUUCGCUGCCACAUCACUUUAACUAACGAAAAUUUCUUAUUUUGUAGCUCUUUAACCUCGCGAGCUAAAAUACGGAUUGGCUUUUCUUCGUAUGUUAUAUCAGACUGAAUCUCUAUUUCAGACGGAGGAAUCACAUGCGAAAGAUCGGAUCUGUAUUGUCGAAGCAUCGAUACAUGAAACACAUUAUGAAUCUUUUCUAACUUUGGUGGAAACAAUAAUCUAUAUGCUACCGGCCCAAUACGCUCGAUAAUCUCAUACGGCCCGAUGAACUUCAGACUCAGUUUGCCUUUUCUAUCGAACCGAAGCACUUUCUUCUACGGAGACACUUCCAAAAAUACUUUAUCACCGAUCUCAAACUCAAUGUCUUUUAUUUUCAAAUCUGCAUAUGAUUUAUGACGAUCGGAAGCUACUUUUAAACUCUCUCGGAUCACUUUCACUUUCUGUUCAGUUUCUUUUUUCAAAUUAACCCCGUGAAUCUUAUUUUCGCUGAGCUCAGUCAAAUAAAAAGGUGUACAAAAUUUGCGACCAUAUAAAGCUUCGUAGGGUGCCAUUUUAAUGCUGGACUGAAAACUGUUAUUCUAAGCGAAUUCAAUCAAAGGUAGAUAUUGUUCCCACGUACCUUCAAACUCAAGAAUGCAACAUCUCAACAUAUCCUCGAGUAUCUGAGUAAUCCGAUAGGAUUGACAGUCUGUUUGCAAAUGAAAAGCAGUAUUGAAGUGCAAUUUAGUACCCAGAUCAUCUUGCAACUUCUUCCAGAAUCGUGAUGUGAAUCUCGGAUCUCUGUCUGACACUAUAAACAAUAGCAUACCAUGCAAUCCCACAAUAUCAGAAAUACAUAACUCAGCUAAUUUAUCAAGCGAGUAAUCGGAUCGAACCGGAAUAAAAUGAGCUGAUUUCAUCAAACGAUCAACUACAACCCAAAUUGCAUCUUACUUUCUCGGAGAUAGGGACAAACCCGAAACAAAGUCCAUGGUCACUCGAUCCUAUUUCCACUCUGGAACCAUAAUCGGUUGUAACAAUCCCGAUGGAACCUAAUGUUCCGCUUUAACUUGCUGACAAAUCAAACAUUUAGAAACAAAUUUAGAGAUAUCUCUUUUCAUUCCGAACCACCAAUAAUGCUGUUUCAGAUCAUUAUACAUUUUCGUACUACCCGGAUGCACAAAUAAACGACUAUUGUGAGCUUCACUCAGAAUCAUUUGAAUUAAUUCUGUAUUUCUCAUAACACAAAUUCGAUCUCGAAAUCUCAAGCAAUCAUCUUUGUCAACUUUGAAUUCUGAAUCAGACUCUACAUCGCACUGAACUCAUUUAGCUAAAAUCUCAUUAUCAAUCUUCUAAACUUCUAUAAUCUGCUGUAAGAACAAAGGUUUUGCUUUUAAUUUAGCUAAAACUGAACCAUCAUCUAAUAAAACCAAACGAGUAUUCAUCACACGCAAAGCAAACAAAAAUUUUUGACUUAAGGCAAUAGCAACAACAUUUGCUUUUCUCGGAUGAUAAUCAAUCACAAGUUCGUAGUCGAUUAGCAUUUCUAACCAUUUUCUCUGUCGUAGAUUCAUAUUUUUCUGAGUCAUCAAAUACUUCACACUCUUAUGAUCAGAGUAUACGUGACACUUCUCACCUAACAAGUAAUGGCACCAAAUCUUUAGAGCAAACACAAUCGCCCUUAACUCAAGAUCGUGCGUCGGAUAGUUCUUUUCGUGCAGCUUCAACUGUCUCGAAACAUAAGCAAUGACUUUGCCUUCUUGCAUCAAAACAUAUCCCAGACUAAUCAAUGAAGUAUCACUGUAGAUCACAAAUUCUUUACCCGAUUCGGGUUGUACCAAUACUGGAGCUUUAGUCAAUAGUCUUCAACUGAUCAAAGUUGUUCUGACACUUUUCGGACCACUCAAACUUCAUAUCUUUCUGUAGCAGUUUUUUUAACAGAGUCUCAAUUAUCGAAAAACCUUUCACGGAUCUUCUAUAAUAACCAGCUAGUCCCAGAAAACUGCGGACUUUAGAAACAUUCCUCGGAGGUUUCCAAUCUAAAAUAGCUAAAAUUUUGCUCGGAUCAACCCGGAUAUCAGAUGCCGAUACAUUAUGUCCUAGAAAACUCACUUCUCUCAACUAGAAUUCACAUUUAUUGAACUUCGCAUACAACUACUUAUCUUGUAGAAUCUGUAGCACUAACUUCAAAUGCUCGGCAUGUUCGGAUUCAUCACGUGAAUACAUCAGUAUGUCAUCAAUAAAUACAACAACAAAUUGAUCUAAAUACGGUCUGAAAAUUCUAUUCAUGAAAUCCAUAAAGAUAGUAGGUACGUUAGUCAAUUCGAAAGGCAUAACUAUGAAUUCAUAGUGGCCGUACCUCGUUCUGUAAGCAGUUUUCAGAAUAUCUGAAUCUUUCGCUUGCAACUGACAAUAACUUGAUCUCAAAUCUAUUUUCAAAAACACAGCAGCUUAUUUCAACUGAUCAAACAAAUCAUCAAUUCGGGGUAGAGGAUAUUUAUUCUUGAUAGUCACUUUAUUCAACUGACGAUAAUCGAUACACAUUCUUAUCGUACCAUCUUUUUUUUCACAAAUAGAACCGAAAAACCCAAUGUGAGAAACUCGGUCUAGCAAAUCCUCUAUCGGUAAACUCUUGCAACUGAGACUUUAAUUCUUUUAACUCGGUCGAGGUCGUUCUGUACGGAGCUUUUGAAAUCGGAGUAGUACCAGGUACCAAUUCAAUACCAAAUUCUACCUCUCUAACCGGAGGUAAUCCCGAAGUUGUUCAGGAAAUACAUCAGGGAACUCACACACAAUAGACACUGAUUUAACUUUCUUUUCUGACACUUUCAAAUCAAUCACGUAUGCAAAAUAAGCUUCACAACCAUUUCUCACAAUACUUAAAGUUUCAUUGAAGAGAUUACAGCAGACAAUCGAUUCAAAUCACUAGAUUCAAUUCUGACUAUUUCAUUAUUCUUGCAUAUCAAAUCAAUAGUUUUUUGUUUGCAGUUCACCACAGGAUCAUGCAAAGUUAACCAAUCCAUACCCAGAAUUAUAUCAAACUCAUCAAAAGGUAAUAAUAUCAGAUCAGCAGGAAAACAAUUGUCUUGAAACAUUAACGAACAAUUCAUACAUACUUUAUCAACCAGAACACAUCUACCAAGGGGGUUCGAAACUCUAAUUACAAAUUCAGUAGACUCUCCAGGAAAAGUCUUACUGUUCACUAACUUCAUGCAUAUAUACGAAUGUGUCGAUCAAGGAUCUAUCAAAGCAAUUAUAGAAGUAUCAUAGAGAGUAAAUGUACCCGUAAUCACAUCUAGCGAUGAAGCUUCCUCGUGAGCUCGGAUAACAUAGGCUCUGGCAGGUGCACGAGUCUCAGAUCUGACAGCUGUGUAUUUUGAUCCUCUUUGACUACUGCUUAUAUUUCCCAAAUUUUUGGGAGGUCUACCACGAAAAGCAUUACCACUCUGCCUCUGAUUCUAAACAUUAUCUUUUUCAGCUAAAUCUGGGCAAUCUUUUAUAAAAUAAUUUCUUGAACCACAACUAUAACAAGCUCGGUUAUUACUUUUUCCCCAGCAUUAGUAUAGUCUUCCACAUUGAUCACACUCUGGUUUCUCAUUCUUUGCAUUACCAACACUGGCAACGGACGUAGCUGAAGAUUUGAAAUUUGAUUUCGAUCUAACAUGAUCUCUGUUCGAAUGUCCCACACUAGUCUUUGAAACACUGCUAUCAUCUUUAAACUUCUUAGAUCCAGAUUGAAAUGAUUUGCCCGAUGAUCUCUUUUAGACCUCUCUAGCUUCAAAAUUAGCUUUUCUUUUCUCUUUCCCAAGAUCUUCGGCUUUACAAGCUCGUUCCACAAUGACAACGAAUUCUUUGAUUUCUAGAAUCCCGACUAACAAAGAAAUAUCCUCAUUCAAACCAUAUUCAAAUGUAUUGCACAUUAUUGCUUUUAAAGAUGCACAUUCUCGAGCAUACUGACUCAACCUUAAGAAUUUUUGCUCGUAUUCUAUGACAGACAUACGGCCUUUUUUAAGCUCGUGAAACUCUUUACGUUUUUGAUCGAUGAAUCUCUGACUGAUAUAUUUCUUCCAGAAUUCAACUUGGAAGAAAUCCCAAGUAACUCGUUCACUCGGAACCACAAAUGUCAAAGUCUUCCACCAAUGAUACGCUGUAUCUCUCAGAAGGGAAACAACACAUUUUAUGCAUUCUACUGGAUUCAAAGACAAUUCAUCUAUCACUCUUAUUGUAUUCUCUAACCAGAACUCGACUUUUUCAGCAUCAUCGCUCGUUGUAGCUCAGAACUCUUCAGCACCAUAUUUUCUAAUCUUAUCAACUGGUGGUCUAUUUAACUGAACCGAAUUCAUUGGUGACAUCACAGGAGCUUGAGGAAGAUUAACCAGGGGUGGAGGUUGUUGUACAGCUGGAUUGGUUCUAAUAUAUUGGGUGAACCAAUCAUUCAUCAUCUGAUAGAAGGCCUGUUUAGCAUCACCAUCACGGCUACUCGUAGCUGGUCAAGAAUCAGAUGGCACCAUCCCUUGCGCGGGAGCAGGCGCAUUGCUUUCAACAUCAUCUGCUACGGCUCUUUAGGGAUCCAUUUACUAAUAAAAGCACAUUUCAAUGUUAGGAUUCAUCACACUAUCGUAGUUCAUAAAUAUGACAUGUAUAGCUAGAGUCACAAACGCUAUGGUAGUCUGAGAACCGACUAAACCAUGGUUCUGAUACCAAUUAAAAGUAACACCCCUAACCCGUAACCGUCACCAGAAUAGGUUAAGAGGCAUUACCGGACUCACAACCCAGAUCUGAACAAUAACAUAACAAAAAUCUUCUCAAUUCAAUAAAAUAUAAAUAAUUCAUAUUUAACACAAACUUUAAACAUUUAUACAAGGUCUAAAUCAUACAUUCAAGACUAAUUCGAUAACAUAAGGAAAUUUCAGAACUUAGAAAAAUUUUCAACUUUUAAAAUUUCAUGCGCCCGUGUGAACAGGCCAUGUGAGGCACACGGCCUUAGACACGCCUGUGUGUCUAAGCAGUGGCAAAACAGGGCAUAGCUACUGACUUGCCCACACAGCUACAAGACACGUUCGUGUGUCUUGGCCGUGGUUGAGUCUGACUUGUGCCACACGGCUAGCCACACGCCCGUGUGCUUUGGCCGUGUUCGGGCUUGACUUACAAUUGUAUGGUACCCCAGGGGAUAAACGACCAUGCAACAUAGCCGUGUGUCGCACAUAGUUGAGACACACGCCCGUGUCUCUGCCCGUGUGGAUAAAAAUAGGCCAUUUGAAUAGCCAAUUUUCCACCCCAAAUUUGAGUCAACCUACAAGCAAAGAAACAAGCAUAUAUACACCACCAUUUCAGCCAAUUUUAUGCCAAAACAUUCAUUAUUUAUAUCAUAACAAUAUCAACAAUUUUCCUAUUUAUAAACCUUACCAAUUCAUGCCAACAUAAAAUAAGAUCAUACCAAAACAUUUCCUUCCAUACAUCAUUCAAUCUCAAGCUAAACUUACAAAAACUUUCCAACUAAAACAUACCACAAUUGCAUAUUAACAUCACAUACCGUAAGCCAUUAUCAACUAUGAGUUUAAACACCAACUAGCCAAAUCACCUGGCUAAGUAUAUAUAUCAAAAAACAUAAUUCCACAACCAUUAGCAUAUAUAUGUCAUACUUUAAAAAUAUACAUUUUUAAAAGUACCAAAAUGAGAUUUGAUAGUGUGGUGAAGAUCCUUGACGAUCCCCGAGCUUAUAAUAGCUUCGAUAUCUAUAAAAUAAUGCAAAGCUUCGAUAUCUAUAAAAUAAUGCAAACACAUACAAAGUAAGCUUUCAAAAGCUUAGUAAGUUCGUACCAAAAAUCAUCAAUACAUAAGUACUUACAAAUUCUCAAAUCAUCUAUCAAAUCUAUACCAACACAAUCCAUAUGCUCAUACCAAAUCAAUGAGCUUCACAUACAUAGUAUCAUCUACCACAUAGGUAUCGUACAUACAUACAUAGUAUCAUCUACCACAUAGGUAUCGUACAUACCUGAAUCUUCUCGUACUUAUUCACUUUCAUUCUCACCUUUCGUUUAAAUAUUUUAAGACUUUCCAUAAAUUAUUCGUGCUUUGAACAUCCGCACACUUAGUGCUGCAACAGUUAACCGAAGCUAGAACGAUUCCGCACACUUAGUGCCAUCUCAAUUAGCCGAAGCUAAGUCGGUAUCGCGCAUUUAGUGCAUUAUAUACCUGAAGCUAGUUUAAAUCACACACUUAGUGCCAAAUACUAUUGAUUUAUCAUCGUAUUCAUCCAAACCAAACAUAUAUACAGUGUAUAUAUAAUCAAAACAUCAAAAUAUACUUAACAUCAUGUUUUAAGUAUGAACUUACCUUGUACUCAAAAUUGUCGACUCGAUCGUUUAUUCUAUAAUCUUCGACCUCUUUUCUUGAUCUAUAUGUAUUCAAAAUUAACCCUUUUAUUCACCAAAUAAUUCAAAACAAUCCAUAUACACAUAUUUAGGGCAUUUUAUAAAAUAGCCAUCACAUUUUCACAUUUCAACACUUUAGUCCCUAAAUCACAAAAUCACAAAAUACAAACAAUUUGCUUAUACUCAUGCUUGGCUGAAUUCUCCUAGCUCUCAUAAAAGUCUAUACAUUUCAUUCAUUUCACAUUUUAGUCCCUUAAAAUAAAAUUUUUACAAUCUAACCCAUAAUACUCAAUUUCAUCAAAAAUUCAAAGACAAAACAUGUAAACCCAACAUCAAGCUUUCAUAAUUCACCAACUAACAUCACAAAGCUCAUAGCUUUAUCAAUGGCACAUUUCAAAAUCAUAAUCAAAAUCAGAAAUUGAGGUAUGAGUUUGAUAGUAUUCAAAGCAACGAUUACAAAAACAUAAAAAUUAUCAAAAACCGAUCAAAACACAUACCUUAAUCAAGGAUUACAAGUGUCAAACCCUAAGCAAACUUUUAUCUUUUCUUUUCUUGUAUUUUCGGUCAAUGAUGAGUAUUAAAUGGUUUAUUUCUUGUAUUUAUUUUUAAUUAUAAUUCAUUUAUAAUUAGUUUACUAAUUUGCCUUUGUAUCAUAACAUUAAUAAACCAUGCACAUCAAGGUCGUAUAUGUCCAUUAACCAUGUAAAUGUAAUAAUAACCACAUAAGGACCUCUCAAUUAUAAAGCCAAGUCAAAUAAGCAUUUUUAACAUCUAGCACACAACUUUUACAUUUUACGAGAUUAGGUCAUUUUUUUGCAAAUUAAGCACAGAAACAGUUAAAUUUUCACACGGUACUUUCACACAUGUCAAUUCACUUAUAAUAGGCACGAAAAAUAAUGUUAAAAUAUUUUUCUAAUUGGGAUUUGUGGUCCCGAAACCACUAUUCCAACUAGGGUCAAAACCAGAUUGUUACAAUUAUGAUUAUAAAUUUUGUUGCAAUAUCAUGUUAACUUAUAUUGUGCAUUUGAAGAUGAAAUUCGUGAAAUGGUGAGUUCAUGAUUAGUCGAAAGUGAACUUAUGAUAGUUAUCAUUAUAUUGCACCAAAACAGUGUUGGACAGCAACAGUUGUAUGAAUUUGAAAAUCCACUAAAAAUUGUGGAAAUUGAGUUAGAGACUGAAUAAAGUUUGAAAUUAAAGCUUAAUAUGUCUACUUUCACAUAGAAGAAACGGUGUAAGCAAAAGAGUUUCAUAUUUUGAAAUAUUUAAAUUGUUGUGAGAUAGAGUUAGAAUGAUUUCGAAAUCCUUAUUCUGAUUUGAGAAAAUUAUUGGAAAUUGUACAAAAAUAGUUAUGGGUUAUUACUUAUAUGCUUAGAAAUCUUAAUGAGUUUUUUUUUCAAGAGAAAUAGACUGGAACAUCAUCUGAGUCUCGUAUUAUGAGAUAAUUAAUUUUUAGUGAAGAGGGGUCGGAACUGUCAAACAGUGAAAAAAGGGGUAAAUUUAAGGAAUAAAUGUACUUAUUGGCUAGACCAAAAAUUAUGAAAAUUUUAUGGUAAGAAGAUAGUGAGUCUAGUUACAGGAAAAAUUAGCAGAUCUGAAUUUGGAGUUCCGUAGCUCUAGAUAUAAAUAAUUUAGUAACUAUGACUCGAGAAAAUAGCUUGACUGAAACAUAAGUAAAAAUGUAAAUAGGGUUGUAUUACCUUGAGAAGCAAGUUGAUAUAUUGCUUAUUGUUUUGAUACGGUCUUACUAAGCUAUAAAACUUACCUUCUCCUUUUCUUUUCUUUAGUGUUGUCAGGUUAGCUCGAGGUUGGAGAUUGUUGGAGGCAGCAUCGCACUAUCAAGCCAUCACCUUUGGAGUAUUGACAUAUGUGUAUUAAGCACCUUCAAGUGAGUGGCAUUUAUAGGGACUUAGUUUUUAUGAUAGAUGUUGUUAUGAUUAGCUAAAUGUAUUGGCUUAUAUUGAUUAAUUGUAUAUAGCCAUGAGAUGUGGCUUAUAAUGAUUGUGGUUUGUAAGCCUAGUUAUUCAUGAUAAGUUCUACUGCUUGCGAUGUGAUGAUGUUUUUAUGCUUGUGGGACAUGCAUGAUUGGUGUUAAGACAUGUGCGCAUGAUAAAUGCUUGAUGACCAAUCAAAAUGGUUAUAGCUAUGAAGUAAUUGAAUGGCAUAGAAAUAAGACGAUGAUGAUUGAACAUGAAUGCUUAAUGUUUAAAUAAGGUCACUUGACAUGGUCAAUGAAUAUGGAUUAAUGUAUCUAGGCUUGAUAUUA
rnacentral:lncRNA from 1 species